rnacentral:rRNA from 1 species
AAAGAGAGCCGUAACACAGGUGCUGCAUGGCUGUCGUCAGCUCGUGUCGUGAGAUGUUGGGUUAAGUCCCGCAACGAGCGCAACCCUUGUCAUUAGUUGCUACGAAAGGGCACUCUAAUGAGACUGCCGGUGACAAACCGGAGGAAGGUGGGGAUGACGUCAAGUCCUCAUGGCCCUUAUGGGUAGGGCUACACACGUCAUACAAUGGCCGGUACAAAGGGCAGCCAACCCGCGAGGGGGAGCCAAUCCCGUAAAGCCGGUCGUAGUCCGGAUCGCAGUCUGCAACUCGACUGCGUGAAGUCGGAAUCGCUAGUAAUCGUGGAUCAGCAUGUCACGGUGAAUACGUUCCCGGGUCUU